GAUGAACGCUGGCGGCGUGCCUAAUACAUGCAAGUCGAGCGAACGGACGAGAAGCUUGCUUUUCUGAUGUUAGCGGCGGACGGGUGAGUAACACGUGGAUAACCUACCUAUAAGACUGGGAUAACUUCGGGAAACCGGAGCUAAUACCGGAUAAUAUUUUGAACCGCAUGGUUCAAAAGUGAAAGACGGUCUUGCUGUCACUUAUAGAUGGAUCCGCGCUGCAUUAGCUAGUUGGUAAGGUAACGGCUUACCAAGGCAACGAUGCAUAGCCGACCUGAGAGGGUGAUCGGCCACACUGGAACUGAGACACGGUCCAGACUCCUACGGGAGGCAGCAGUAGGGAAUCUUCCGCAAUGGGCGAAAGCCUGACGGAGCAACGCUGCGUGAGUGAUGAAGGUCUUCGGAUCGUAAAACUCUGUUGUUAGGGAAGAACAUAUGUGUAAGUAACUGUGCACAUCUUGACGGUACCUAAUCAGAAAGCCACGGCUAACUACGUG
rnacentral:rRNA from 1 species